CCUGGUUUCCGUGUUCAACGUUUGACCAUUCGUCUUAUUUGAAAAAAUUAUAAAAAAAAUAAAAAGACAAGUCAUGUAUAAAGUAUUAAUCAUGUUUUAUCAUCUAACAAUAAUGAAAAUACUAAUUAUAAAAAAAAUUCAUAUAAGACGGACAGUCAAAUAUUGGACACGGAAAUCAAGGGUUUAUCUUUUU
rfam:Oryza sativa Japonica Group DNA, chromosome 3, cultivar: Nipponbare, complete sequence.